rnacentral:rRNA from 1 species
GAUGAACGCUGGCGGCGUGCCUAAUACAUGCAAGUCGAGCGAACGGACGAGAAGCUUGCUUUUCUGAUGUUAGCGGCGGACGGGUGAGUAACACGUGGAUAACCUACCUAUAAGACUGGGAUAACUUCGGGAAACCGGAGCUAAUAUCGGAUAAUAUUUUGAACCGCAUGGUUCAAAAGUGAAAGACGGUCUUGCUGUCACUUAUAGAUGGAUCCGCGCUGCAUUAGCUAGUUGGUAAGGUAACGGCUUACCAAGGCAACGAUGCAUAGCCGACCUGAGAGGGUGAUCGGCCACACUGGAACUGAGACACGGUCCAGACUCCUACGGGAGGCAGCAGUAGGGAAUCUUCCGCAAUGGGCGAAAGCCUGACGGAGCAACGCCGCGUGAGUGGUGAAGGUCUUCGGAUCGUAAAACUCUGUUAUUAGGGAAGAACAUAUGUGUAAGUAACUGUGCACAUCUUGACGGUACCUAAUCAGAAAGCCACGGCUAACUACGUG